GUGCUUGCUGUGGCAGCACAUACACUAAAAUUGGAACGAUACAGAGAUUAGCUUGGCCCCUGCACAGGGAUGACAUGCAAAUUCGUGAAGCGUUCCAUAUUUUU
rnacentral:snRNA from 1 species